rnacentral:misc_RNA from 1 species
GCACGUGGUUCUUCUGUUGCAGCUGGAACGAGGAGUCCUGGAAUCCUGUCCUUUGCAAAUGUAACCUCCAAAGCAAAAGCUGUUGAAGGUCCCAAUGCUUCUAAGUCAAAUGAUGCAGGGAAGAGGGGAAAGAAGCCAAAUCGGAUCCUAAUGUCAACUUCUGGUGGUAGACGUUACUGAAUUUUGAAGGGACGUGAUAAGGAAUAAUCUGUCUGUAUAUUUAAGAGAUGUUUUGCCUUUUAUUAGCAACUGAGAUUUGUUUGUUGUUACUCACCUAGUAGGUUUGAGCAAUGGUUAUUUUUGUGAAAUUGUUUUGGGAAAAACUGUUU